AUUGAACGCUGGCGGCAGGCCUAACACAUGCAAGUCGAGCGGAUGAAGGGAGCUUGCUCCUGGAUUCAGCGGCGGACGGGUGAGUAAUGCCUAGGAAUCUGCCUGGUAGUGGGGGAUAACGUCCGGAAACGGGCGCUAAUACCGCAUACGUCCUGAGGGAGAAAGUGGGGGAUCUUCGGACCUCACGCUAUCAGAUGAGCCUAGGUCGGAUUAGCUAGUUGGUGGGGUAAAGGCCUACCAAGGCGACGAUCCGUAACUGGUCUGAGAGGGUGAUCAGUCACACUGGAACUGAGACACGGUCCAGACUCCUACGGGAGGCAGCAGUGGGGGAUAUUGGACAAUGGGCGAAAGCCUGAUCCAGCCAUGCCGCGUGUGUGAAGAAGGUCUUCGGAUUGUAAAGCACUUUAAGUUGGGAGGAAGGGCAGUAAGUUAAUACCUUGCUGUUUUGACGUUACCAACAGAAUAAGCACCGGCUAACUUCGUG
rnacentral:rRNA from 1 species